GCUCUAUUCGUCUAAUGGCUAGGAUUUCUCCCUUUCAAGGAGAAGAAGAGGGAUCGAAACCCUCAUAGAGUA
rnacentral:tRNA from 1 species